UUCCGUUUGUUCUUGCUACCAAUCAAGAGAGUGAAAUAAAACAAAACCCUAAAGAAAAAACCCCAAGCAACAGUAAUCCACAAACAAUUCCAUUUACUAAUAUCCGUAAUCCCUUGCUGUUUCAAAAUAUCAAUCCCCGUCGUCACACAAGUCUCCGCCGUCACAUUCGUCCCCAAUACACCGCUCAUACUCUUCAACAGAUUCACUUUCACAUCGUUCGGAAACUCCCCCAACGGCGAAUUGUCGAAUAACUGAACUCCUCUGGCGAAACAUCUCGUCGGAUUUUGAAAUUCGUUCUGCAACACUCCUUCGUAAGGGUAUUUCACCAAGGAGAUGUAAUGGAACCAGAGCCAGUAAACAGGAAUUCGAUCUCGAGAGAUGAAGAAUCCGGAGAAGAGGAGGAAGUAAGCGAGGAUCGCUACUACGACUGUGAAUCCGAGCAUUACGUUUGGUAUAACGCCGGAGAGGAACGUUACGAAGGAGCUUCCUGCCCAAAAUGAGGCUAGGAUUGUGAAGUAGAAGAAGAAGAAACCAUUGGCGCCUCCGUCGAGACCAACGGCCCAGAAUGUUGUGGCGGCGAAGCUUGCGGAGAGGACGAUUAAGGCCGGGAUUGAGAUUAUGGAUUGAGAGAGGACGUAGGAGGAUCUCCGGUAAGCGUUGUAAGCUGUUUCUCUCAUGAAUAUGUAACGUUCUUGUAGAAAGACUGGGAUUGCUUCUGCACAUGUGUAGAAUGUUGUUGACAUUGCGAAUGCGAAGAAUCCUAAACGUUCUUGUGCUCCUUUUGGGGAAUUGUCUAGGUUAGUGAACAUUGUAGCUAGGAUGAUUCCGGUGACCAUUACAGCUCCUAGUCUCAUUCCGAGGAGUUCUGGUUGUCUUCUUGAGUUUAAUAUAGCACGUUUGCCUAUUACUAUCAUUUCAAUCCAGAAAGGAUUGGCGAAUGUUUGGAAUGAUGGUGUUAGGUUUGAUGAGUUGUUGUUCGUUGCUCCAGAGACGAGUUUCCCUCUUGAGAUACUCGCGGUUAUCGCUUCUUUGAGAGAAGAUACGUUGGUGUUUCUCUUGUUAUUGUUGUUGUAGCUUGGUGCUUGCUUUGCUCGCCAUUGCUUGUGGAACUCGACAAGUGGCUUGGUUCCUUCUGUAGAAUAUUCCAGCUCUCGGAUGAGAUCGAGAGCGAACUCUGUUUUGUUCUCGUUUUCAGGAAUUGGGUGCUUGAAUUCUGAGAAGAACUGAGGGAGAUGUGUUGGUGAGCCGCUGUAGACUGUGUUUCCCUUAGAAAGGAAGAUUAACUGAUCUAGAAGACCCAUGAUUCUGUAACUAGGCUGAUGGAUUGACAUGAUAACUAUGCUGCCACUUUGUGCGAUUCUCUGAAGGACUUUGAUAACCAUGUAGGCGCUUGUAGAGUCGAGCCCUGAGGUUGGCUCAUCUAGAAAGAGGAUGAUUGGGUCAUGGAUUAUGUCGUUUCCAAUUGAUACCCGUCUCCUUUCUCCUCCAGACACUCCUCUGUGGCCUUCAUCACCAAUCACGGUUUUUGCAGCGCUCCUUAGGCCUAAUUGGUCAAUCAGAGCUUGAACCCUUGCUUUCUUCUUCUUCUUGGAGAGUGAACGAGGGAGCCUGAACUCUGCAGAGAACAUUAGAGUUUCCUCCACGGUAAGCAUCGGGAAGAGAAGGUCGUCUUGCAUCACGUAAGCCGAUAUGACUUUCUGCAUGCUUGAUUCAAGAACUUCUCCGUUUAAGGUAAUGGAUCCCCUGAGGCUAUCUUUUGCGAUCCGGUUGGCUAAUGCAUCGAUCAGUGUUGAUUUACCGGACCCACUUGCUCCAAGAACCGCCAUCAUCUCCCCUUCGCGGGCUUCACCUGAAAUACCAUUCAAUAGUAUCUUAGUGUUCACCGAGGAAUCAUUUCCUGACCUUCUGCAGCAAGCGAGGGGAUUAAACUUCUUCUGGAUCUUCACGCUGUAGGUCAAGUCAGUGAAUGAAAGAACAAACGGGGAAGAAGAUAUAGAAGAAGCAGGAGCAGAGGCCCAUGAAUUGAAAGAGGAUGCAGCAGAAUUGAUAGGUGAGGCAAUUCCCAGAGCCCGGCUACUUGCACUUUCAUCAUUCCUUGCAUCCUCCACGUUCAUAAGAUGCUCGGCGAAUGUGACAGAGACUCUAGUCGUGUCGCUUGGACGUCCUUGAGGCUCCACGGACAUCGGGUUUACAUAAUACAUAGGAAGAUCAUUGUUGCCAUCAACCCGUUUGGCCGGAGAUGAUUUUCCGAGCAAGCCAGACAUUUUCUAUGUAUUUUUGUCUUAAUCUUCUCAGGUUAUGUGGGUUAUAUAGCUCAUACCCACAAAGAAGACACGAAUAGGAUAUAGGAGGAAUGAGAGAAGAGACUACUAUAAAGUAAAGAGAUAUUUUUUUAUUAUAAGAAUGAAAGAGAUACGAAAUGGUCAAUAUAGUAGGUAAUCUCUAAGUAUCUAACGAUAGCUUCUGGGUUUUGUAUGUUUUGAUGUAAUGUACAAACCUAAAAGUAAAUGGGUAGGUGAGAGG